rnacentral:rRNA from 1 species
UAUCUCUGUAGAGUCUGCAUAUCAAUAAGCGGAGGAAAAGAAACUAACAAGGAUUCCCUUAGUAACGGCGAGUGAAGCGGGAAGAGCUCAAAUUUGAAAUCUUCAAGGUUCUACCUUGACGAAUUGUAGUUUAAAGAAGUGUUUUCUGUUAGAUGAGUAGCAAAAGUUCCUUGGAAUGGGACAUCAUAGAGGGUGAGAAUCCCGUAUUUGGUUAUUCAUUCUAGCUUUGUGAUACACUUUCAAAGAGUCGAAUUGUUUGGGAAUGCAGUCCAAAAUGGGUGGUAAAUUUCAUCUAAAGCUAAAUAUUGGCGAGAGACCGAUAGCGAACAAGUACCGUGAGGGAAAGAUGAAAAGAACUUUGAAAAGAGAGUUAAACAGUACGUGAAAUUGUCAAAAGGGAAGCGUUUGACACCAGUGUUGUUUUUCCGAAAAUCAAUUACGAAUGGCUUGAUUCUGUGUUGUAUUGACCUUAUCAGCUUUCUUCACUUUUUUCGAGUCUUUCUUAAUGCACUUUUCGGUUAACAAGUCAACAUCAAUUUCUUUUGUUGUAAAAGAGUCAUUCGGAAGGUGGCUUUCUUUUCGGAGAAAGUGUUUAUAGCCCUUAUGCCUCUACAAUCGGAGAGAUUGAGGUCUGCAGCGUAGAUCCUUCGGGGUUAGAUACACUUGUGCUAAGUUGUAGCUUUUCAUAGACAACUUGUUGACUAUGUUUAGUCAUGCGGCUUACUCGCUUAGUGCUAUUUUACCUACGCUUAGGAUGUUGACGAGACUGUCGAUCUC